ACGCUGGCGGCGCGCUUAACACAUGCAAGUCGCACGAGAAAGUGGAGCAAUCCAUGAGUACAGUGGCGUACGGGUGAGUAACACGUGGAUCAUCUACCUCUUAGUGGGGAAUAACCCUGGGAAACCGGGGCUAAUACCGCAUAAGCUCGAGAGAGGAAAGCAGCAAUGCGCUGAGAGAGGAGUCCGCGGCCGAUUAGCUAGUUGGCAGGGUAAGAGCCUACCAAGGCAAAGAUCGGUAGCCGGCCUGAGAGGGCACACGGCCACACUGGCACUGAAACACGGGCCAGACUCCUACGGGAGGCAGCAGUGGGGAAUCUUGCACAAUGGGGGAAACCCUGAUGCAGCGACGCCGCGUGAGCGAUGAAGCCCUUCGGGGUGUAAAGCUCUUUCGGCAGGGACGAUCAUGACGGUACCUGCAGAAGCAGCUGCGGCUAACUACGUGCCAGCAGCCGCGGUAAUACGUAGGCAGCGAGCGUUGUUCGGAGUUACUGGGCGUAAAGGGUGUGUAGGCGGUUGCUUAAGUUUGGUGUGAAAUCUCCCGGCUCAACUGGGAGGGUGCGCCGAAUACUGAGUGACUCNAGUGCGGGAGAAGA
rnacentral:rRNA from 1 species